rnacentral:rRNA from 1 species
UCGUCAGCUCGUGUCGUGAGAUGUUGGGUAAGUCCCGCAACGAGCGCAACCUUGUGUUUAGUUGCAAACAGGUCAAGCUGUGCACUCUAGACAGACUGCCGUGGACAACACGGAGGAAGGUGGGGAUGACGUCAAAUCAUCAUGCCCCUUAUGAUCUGGGCUACACACGUGCUACAAUGGCCGGUACAACGGGCAGCGAAGGAGCGAUCCGGAGCGAAUCCUAAAAAGCCGGUCCCAGUUCGGAUUGCAGGCUGAAACUCGCCUACAUGAAGUUGGAGUUGCUAGUAAUCGCGAAUCAGAAUGUCGCGGUGAAUGCGUUCCCGGGUCUU